UUUAACCUACGGGGGGCAGCAGUGAGGAAUAUUGGUCAAUGGGCGGAAGCCUGAACCAGCCAAGUCGCGUGAGGGAAUAAGGCCCUACGGGUCGUAAACCUCUUUUGCCGGGGAGCAAGGGCGGGGACGUGUCCCGGCCCGGAGAGUACCCGGAGAAAAAGCAUCGGCUAACUCCGUGCCAGCAGCCGCGGUAAUACGUAGGUGGCAAGCGUUGUCCGGAUUUAUUGGGCGUAAAGCGAGUGCAGGCGGGUCAAUAAGACUGAUGUGAAAGCCUUCGGCUCAACCGGAGAAUUGCAU
rnacentral:rRNA from 1 species